CAGAGGCCAUGCUAAUCUACUCUGUAUCAUUCCAAUUUUAGAAGAUUAGCAUGGCCCCUGCGAAGGAUGACACGCAAAUUCGUGAAGCGUUCCAUAUGUUU
rnacentral:snRNA from 1 species